UGUAAGCUUGUGUAGUCAAAUUAAUCUAUGAUCAUAUGCUAUCCAUUUGUUGUUUGUAUGCUGUUCUUUGUAUGGCAUUUUAUUUGAUUAUAAACCAAUGAUAUUAGGCCACUCUUGGCCAUGAUUACAGACACCUGUGUCUUUUGACACUAUAUAAACAAGUCAUCCCGCAGUGUUUGUGAUUAUACCCUGAUGAAGACAGCUUGGCUGUCGAAACAUUGAUAGUUCUGGAACCACAACCAUGAAAUGAGGGGCGCGGCCCGUCAGAGCCCUAUGGAGGAGUUGGUGGCUGCCUGGUACUCUGGAAUGCUGUUGUUCAGGCCUCUAGUUUCCUGAGACAUCCUCUCUUCUAGACAUUCCUCCAGCCAUGAAAAUGUAUCUCUAUCUAUUACAACCACAGAGGAGAUUUGUUUGUGUAUAUGUGUACACUGCCCCCACUUGGGGAUUAAACCAUUUUUUCAAUUUUC